UACGUAGGCAGCAAGCGUUGUUCGGAGUUACUGGGCGUAAAGGGUGCGUAGGCGGUCCUAUAAGUAUGGUGUGAAAUCUCCCGGCUUAACUGGGAGGGUGCGCUAUAGACUGUGGGACUAGAGUGUGGGAGAGGUGAGUGGAAUUCCUGGUGUAGCGGUGAAAUGCGUAGAUAUCAGGAGGAACACCUGUGGCGAAAGCGGCUCACUGGACCAUAACUGACGCUGAUGCACGAAAGCUAGGGGAGGAAACAGG
rnacentral:rRNA from 1 species